rnacentral:misc_RNA from 1 species
AGAGAGAGAGAGAGAGAGAGAUUACAAGCUCUCUUAACAGGUAAUAUGACAAGCUUUCUUAACAGGUAAUAUUCAAAAUCUGUUGUCAGGCUGAUUAAUAAUUAUAGUAUUAGAUUAAUAUGCAGUAAAGUUAUUGAAUUAGAGUAAUUAGCUGAAAUUUUUUAGCAUUGCUUUCAUUGUGCUGUGAUUAUGAAGUUAAUUUGCUUAUUGCUCAUGCAGGUAACUGCUAUGGUCCAACCAUCUGUGACUCCCACAGUAUCUAAAGGAAACCAGUGUUAUCUAGUCUCCAACAGGUUUAUUCUUCUAUCUCAUUUUCAAGUUAUUAUUCAUACUUAUGCUUGACGUCAGAAAGGUUUUGUGGUCCUGGGCUCCCAACUUCUUCCCCUUGAGAACCAAAGUAAUAUAUAUUUCUGUUUCCUAUGCAGUGUA